ACAGUGGAGUUUUAAUGUCCGCCAUGUUGGCCAUGGCGUAUUGAAGAGAGCGAGCGAGAGAGGAGCGGAGCGGCACAGCCUCCCACCCUCCCGGCUGGUGUUAGUGCCCGGACGGCGGGCUCUGCGCUCCGCCCCUCAAGUCCCCGGCAGCGGUUGGCGAGUGGGGACCGAACCCCCGGUUCUCCAUGAUCCCGCUGGCCGGGGCCGUUUCCCCAGAGCGGAGAGGUAUCUGCUGCGCCUGAGAUGAGUAAACUGUCGUUUCGGGCGCGGGCGCUAGACGCCUCGAAGCCGCUGCCGGUUUUCCGCUGUGAGGAUCUGCCCGACCUGCACGAAUACGCCUCGAUAAACAGGGCCGUGCCGCAGAUGCCCACCGGAAUGGAGAAGGAAGAGGAGUCGGAACAUCAUCUUCAGCGGGCUAUUUCAGCACAGCAGGUGUAUGGCGAGAAGAGGGAUAAUAUGGUUAUACCGGUCCCAGAGGCAGAAAGUAAUAUUGCUUACUAUGAGUCUAUAUAUCCUGGGGAAUUUAAGAUGCCAAAGCAGCUCAUUCACAUACAGCCUUUUAGUUUGGAUGCUGAACAGCCUGAUUAUGAUUUGGAUUCUGAAGAUGAAGUAUUUGUGAAUAAACUGAAAAAGAAAAUGGACAUCUGCCCAUUGCAAUUUGAGGAGAUGAUUGACCGCCUAGAAAAAGGCAGUGGUCAGCAGCCAGUCAGUCUGCAGGAAGCCAAACUACUGCUAAAAGAAGAUGAUGAACUAAUUAGAGAAGUUUAUGAAUAUUGGAUUAAAAAGAGAAAAAACUGUCGAGGGCCAUCUCUUAUUCCAUCAGUAAAACAAGAGAAGCGAGAUGGUUCCAGCACAAAUGAUCCUUAUGUGGCUUUUAGAAGGCGUACUGAAAAAAUGCAGACUCGAAAAAAUCGCAAAAAUGAUGAAGCCUCUUACGAAAAAAUGCUUAAGCUGCGACGAGAUCUAAGUCGAGCUGUUACUAUUCUAGAGAUGAUAAAAAGAAGAGAAAAAAGUAAAAGAGAGCUAUUGCACUUAACACUGGAAAUUAUGGAAAAGAGGUAUAAUUUGGGCGACUACAAUGGAGAGAUCAUGUCUGAGGUUAUGGCACAGAGACAGCCAAUGAAACCUACUUAUGCCAUCCCCAUCAUCCCUAUUACUAAUAGCAGUCAAUUUAAACACCAGGAAGCAAUGGAUGUGAAGGAGUUCAAAGUUAAUAAGCAAGAUAAAGCCGAUCUUAUCCGACCGAAACGGAAAUAUGAAAAGAAGCCCAAAGUCUUACCAUCGUCUGCCGCUGCUACUCCCCAACAGACGAGUCCUGCUGCACUGCCAGUCUUCAAUGCUAAAGAUCUGAAUCAGUAUGACUUUCCCAGCUCAGACGAAGAACCUCUCUCCCAGGUUUUGUCUGGCUCUUCGGAAGCUGAGGAAGACAAUGAUCCUGAUGGUCCUUUUGCUUUCCGUAGGAAAGCAGGCUGUCAGUACUAUGCUCCUCACUUAGACCAAACUGGCAACUGGCCUUGGACUAGUCCUAAAGAUGGAGGAUUAGGGGAUGUGCGAUAUAGAUACUGCUUAACUACUCUCACCGUACCCCAAAGGUGUAUUGGAUUUGCACGAAGACGGGUUGGGCGCGGUGGAAGGGUCUUACUGGACAGAGCUCAUUCAGACUAUGACAGUGUGUUUCACCAUCUGGAUUUGGAAAUGCUUUCCUCACCACAACAUUCUCCAGUCAAUCAGUUUGCCAAUACCUCAGAAACAAAUACCUCGGACAAAUCUUUCUCUAAAGACCUCAGUCAGAUACUAGUCAAUAUCAAAUCAUGUAGAUGGCGGCAUUUUAGGCCUCGGACACCAUCCCUACAUGACAGUGACAAUGAUGAACUCUCCUGUAGAAAAUUAUAUAGGAGUAUAAACCGAACAGGAACAGCACAACCUGGGACCCAGACAUGCAGUACCUCUACGCAAAGUAAAAGUAGCAGUGGUUCAGCACACUUUGAACUGAGCUCUCCAUAGACAAACAUAAGUAGCAUAACACAGUGUCUUUCCUCAGACAUCAUUCUGUACAGUAAAUCAACAUAAACAACUCCGUUCUUAUUGACUGGAUUUUUUCCAGCAUUUACAGCCGAACAAUACCAGCAACAUCAACAGCAACUGGCACUCAUGCAGAAACAGCAGCUUGCACAAAUUCAGCAACAGCAAGCAAAUAGUAAUUCCUCCACCAACACAUCACAGGGUUUUGUUUCUAAGACUUUGGAUUCUGCUAGUGCACAGUUUGCUGCUUCUGCUUUGGUGACAUCAGAACAACUGAUGGGAUUCAAGAUGAAGGAUGAUGUGGUGCUUGGAAUCGGGGUGAAUGGCGUCCUUCCAGCCUCAGGAGUAUACAAGGGCUUACACCUCAGUAGUACUACACCAACAGCACUUGUACAUACAAGUCCAUCAACGGCAGGUUCAGCUUUGUUACAGCCUUCAAAUAUUACACAGACUUCAAGUUCCCACAGUGCACUGAGUC